UACGUAGGCAGCAAGCGUUGUUCGGAGUUACUGGGCGUAAAGGGUGCGUAGGCGGCUUUUUAAGUUUGGUGUGAAAUCUCCCGGCUCAACUGGGAGGGUGCGCCGAAUACUGAGAGGCUAGAGUGCGGGAGAGGAAAGUGGAAUUCCUGGUGUAGCGGUGAAAUGCGUAGAUACCAGGAGGAACACCGGUGGUGUAAACGGCUUUCUGGACCGUAACUGACGCUGAGGCACGAAAGCGUGGGUAGCAAACAGG
rnacentral:rRNA from 1 species